GACAUCAUAGCUCAGUUGGCAGAGCAUUGGACUAGUAUCCCAAAGGUUGUGGGUUCGAAUCCCAGUGUGGUCA
rnacentral:tRNA from 1 species